ensembl:lncRNA
CUUGGCAGAAUUCUCCAGCUGUUAUGAUGGAUGUUUUAUGUACAUGAAGUAGAGGUCAUUCCUGAUCCAGCUUACACAGACCUUCCAUGUUCCCUGUCUACAGACCAUGAGCUCCCUCAGGUUCAAGGCAGCAAGACUCACGAUCCUGUUCACAGAAUGUGCCUGUUUUGCAGUCAUGGAGACACCCAGCCAGGUGAGGUUUGUGGCACUGAAAGCUUUGUGUUUGAAGAAUUAAGGAAUCAAAAUCAACUUGAAGCUUGUUUGAUUGCAGCAGGCCAAGAUGAUUUUCAGUCUAAGUCUCAAGGUGGAAAUCUUUCCGGCUGUGCUGAUGACAAACGUCUCACUCUAGGCU